rnacentral:rRNA from 1 species
CCUACGGGCGGCAGCAGUGAGGAAUAUUGGUCAAUGGGCGCGAGCCUGAACCAGCCAAGUAGCGUGAAGGAUGACUGCCCUACGGGCUGUAAACUUUGUUUAUAAAGGAAUAAAGGCGUGCACGUGAGCCUUCUCGUAUGUACUGUAUGAAUAAGGAUCGGCUAACUCCGUUCCAGCAGCCGCGGUAAUACGGAGGGUCCGAGCGUUAGCCGGAUUUAUUGGGUUUAAAGGGAGCGUAGAUGGGGUGUUAAGUCAGUUGUGAAAGUUUGCGGCUCAACCGUAAAAGUGCAAUUGAUACUGGGAGUCUUGAGUACAGUUGAGGUAGGUGGAAUUCGAGGUGUAGCGGUGAAAUGCUUAGAUAUAACGAAGAACUCCGAUUGCGAAGGCAGCUUACUAAACUGCAACUGACAUUGAUGCUCGAAAGUGUGGGUAUCAAACAGGAUUAGAUACCCGAGUAGUC